CGAAGAUGGCGGAGUAAGGCGUGCCGCUGCAAACUGGCCUCUGGGCCGGGGGCGAGCAGCCCCCGGGAGGCCGAGUGCAUCUGUUGGACCGUGCGAGGAGAAGAAAAAAAAUAUCGGCCAGAGGAGAGGAACUAACCGAACAUUCUUCCUCCCUACCUUAUAGAGGGGAGUGGUCAUCUACACUAAAGCAAAGUGUUAGGCGCGUCCGUGCGAAGAGACCACCAAACAGGCUUUGUGUUCCUUAUCACAGGAAGAAAAUUUUCCUUGACCUUUAGGUGCUUUUAUAUUCAUCUCAAAAACAAAAUUCUGAACUCAGGACUUGGCAAGUGUCUCUAUGUUGUCUCCUAGAGUGGGUAGUCCUGCUUCUUUUACCCAGUUACUUUCCCGUUUUUGAAAUGUGGCUAUCACUUCUCUACACAUUACCUCCAUGAUUUGGAAUGGAAAAGGCCACUUUUCUUUUUGUUCUGCCUCUCAAAUUCAACACAGAGGAGCUCCUAGGAUUCCAGUUAUCCUGCUAACAUCUCCAGGAAGAAAGAAGCAACUCACAUGGGUCUUUUGCUGUUUGCUUAAUUAUAAAGACAUCAUUUUGCAAGCAGAAGGCUGAGUUUCAUUUGAAACAGGUCCAUGAAUGCUGUGAUGCUGGGAACUUAGGGAAGAUUCACCAAAAUUUGAGAGUGAUAAAAAUGGCCUAAAAUGGGAAAUGGUGAGCACUCUUAUUAUUAGUGAGAUUGGUCAAUCAGCCCAUUUGAAAUGGGUAAAAAAUACUUUCAGUAAAAUAAUUACAUAUUAUAUAUAAAAUAUUUCUUUUUUUGAGGGCAGCUACUGAGUGAUAAAAGCAUAGUAGAAAUCACUUUGGUUAAAAGUAACUCAAAUUUUUCUCUUAAGUAAUCUACCAACUUCCUGAUGUUUUUCUUUAAUAUUUUGGAACUGUUCAAGACAGAAUGGAGCCUACAUAUAUGGUGUUCCACUAGUAUGUUGAAAAUGUCAUAUCAUGGAGAAUGGAGACACCUUCCAGGUGUCUGUUAAACCCAUCUUCUCUGUGUACUUCUGGCAUCUUUUUUGGUAGGAUCAUUUGGCAGGGGGUAGAGUACCUGUACUUUUGGCACCAUUGAAACCAGCUCUGGCCCACUUGUUUGAAUAGCUAUCAGACUCAGCGUCUCUAUAUGCUUUAUAUACAGUUGAGAGAACCAGUGUUUAAUGCUCUUGAAAUUGUAUCUUCCAUGCUUCAGACCAGAUGCAUUUAACAAAAUGGAUAUAUUCCAGCUGUAGUUGCCCAGUGUUUACUUAACACAUCUACAUUUUUUUCUUGUCUAUUUUGGUCCCCUUGAUAGGAAAAGCUAUAAUUUUAGGCAGGACUAUACGUCGAUUUGUAGCCAUGCUUCCUUCCUUUCCCUUGCUCAUCCAUGUUAGCUGGCAGUUUUUCUUUUGAAAAGUUAAAACCGGGAUAUGUGCAAUAGAAAUAUAUAUAUAUAUAUGUAUAUUUUAAUACUUGUGGACAAAUGUUACAAGUUGUUUAAGAACAACAAAAUCACCAAUGUCUUCCAUUUUGAGAUGUGUAUAGUUUUGUAAGCAUUAGUGCUUGGUAGCAUAUUGUAGUGCCAUGUUAGGGGUUAGUGCAUGAGUCUAGUGAUUUUAAACUUCAGGAUGAAUUAUUGAUAAUAACAAAUAGUGUAAAAAGAGUGGAAAAUCUAAACCUUUUCUUUUUCCAUAAUGUCUAAAUCUGUUAUAUUCUUCCUGGGGAAAAGAGAUUAAGGCCCAAAAGACUCAUUUAUGAAUAGAAAUGUGGGGUCAAAAUCUGAGAUACUAUAUUUGAGGACAUUUCAGCUUUCCAUAAGGUAUCUGGAAACCAGCUGUCUUUGUGUCUUAUGAAACCUCAAGUCAAAAUGAGACCGCAUUUAAUUAUUCUGCUUUGCUCUUUUUUUGGGGUGGGGGGGAGAUAGAGUUUCACUCUGUCACCCAGGCUGGAGUGCAGUGGCACAAUCUUUGCUCACUGUAACCUCUGCCUCUUGGGUUCAAGUGAUUCUCGUGCCCCAGCCUCCCGAGUAGCUGGGACUACAGGCACGUGCCACCACGCCCAGCUAAUUUUUAUAUUUUUAGUAGAGACGGGGUUUUGCUGUGUUGGCCAGGCUGGUCUCAAACUCCUGACCUCAAGUAAUCCACCUGGCCUGCUCUUUUCAUGUCUUAACAUGGCAUGUCUUUUAGUUUCAUUAUUUUCCUACUCCUUGUAUGUCAAGAAAUUACAUUUUGCAUGUCUUAUGGAGAUGCUGUUAAUUGCUUCAGUGAGUGCUUUUCUAAUCUGCAGACCAUUUACAUUUCCUGUUUGCAGCAUGCUGUGUGCAAACACUCAGUAAUUUGGAGUAUUCAAUUAUUUGUUAGGGCUCUUCCUAUUUCCAAAUGUGCUGAAUUGUCUAUUGAUGGGAUUUUCAGAUCUUUUCAUGAGAACUGGAAAUGUAGCUGGGUGGCACCUACCUAGGUUGCUACGUAGUGAGUAGACUUUCUCUUGGGUAUAGUAAGCCUCAGACAGCUUUCACUUUUAUCUACUUUACUUGUGGAAAUAAAACAGUCAUUUUGUUCUGAAAGAAUAAGAUAGCUUUCUGUAGAGAAGGAAUUCCUACCUCUAAAAGCUGCCUUGAGAACUCAGAACUGGCAGUUUUCUGAGGUGAUUUUUAAAUUUCAGUAUUAGGGAGAGUCCAGCAUUUGCUGACACAGAUUCUACAUAACUAAUGUAUGAUAGCAAAUGCAAAACUAUUAUAAUGUGGUGUAUCUUGCGCAUACACAGGUUAGAACAAGUAGACUCUGGCAGCAGAUCUCCAGAGACCCAAGUUUAGGUUCUCAUAGUGUAUUUGAAGUAGUUAUACUCCUGGCUUAAGUAGUUUAGUGCCUGGGAGAAUCCAUUACUGAAAAGCAUUUAACUUAAAAAAAAAAAAAAAAAAAAAAAAAAAAACUGAAAAGGUAGUGAAUACAGAAUAGCACAAUAUAUAGGAAAGGAUAUUUCCUGUUGAAAAAAAAAGCCAUAAAAUUAAUAGUAAUUUUCAAGAGGUAGAAUUUUAGUAGCAAUAAGUUUGUGCAUGUAUAGUAAUUUGCAUUAGCAAGGUUGUACAAUAGAAUAAGUGAUACUACUGGAGUUUGUGGGGCUCUGCAACCAAGAGUUGCACAAGGGCCAGGUGCGGUGGCUUACACCUAUAAUCCCAGCACUUUGGGAGGCCAAGGUGGGCGGAUCACAAGGUCAAGAGAUCAGGACCAUCCUGGCCAACAUGGUGAAAUGCCAUCUCUACUAAAAAUACAAAACUUAGCUGGGCAUGGUGGCACAUGCCUGUAAUCCCAGCUACUCAGGAGGCUGAGGCAGUAGAAUCACUUAAACCUGAGAGGCGGAGGUUGCAGUGAGCUGAGAUCACACCACUGUACUCCAGCCUGGUGACAGUAAGACUCCACCUCAAACAAACAAAAAAUGCACAAAAGGAAAAAAUGUUCUGGAUAAAGAGCAUAUGAAAGGUACUUUCUUUUAGAACAGUAUGAAUGUAUAUGAAUUUAUCUUUAUGUGAGAAAUAAUCUUUUUUGUAAGUUAAAGGUUAAAGACCCUGCUUGUUUCCUAAAUCAGAGGGUUAGAGCUGUUGAAAUUAAACCUUUAUAGUGCUUAACCUGGAAACAAAUGUACUACAGCCCCACUGAAGCCGCUCUAUGGGUUUUUUGCUUACGAUGUUUUAGCAACAGGCAUUUAUUUUGUAGAAUGGUAUACUUUCUGCUUUGUCUCCUCAUCUUUCUCCACUGGUUUCCUGGGUACAUUUUUUUUAAAGGGAGAGAAGUUUGUGAGUUUAAUGUUUUAAAAAAACUCCCAAGAACAUGGAUAAGCCGGAUUUCUCUCAUGCUUAUGAUUAGGGAGUUAGGAUUUAAAGAUGCAAAGCAGAAGGACUGAAAGGAAUAGCCAGUGAAUAUGUUUCAGUGGGUGAGGUGUGAAACCUUGUCUAAUAUAGAUGUGUCCUAUGGCCUGUGACUGCUUAUUCUUUAUCAAUGAGAACUCAGCAAACUAGUUUCUUUCUUGAUCUGAGGAACCACACAGCUCACAUCAGAAUAUAAUAGUGGAACUAGGGUGACUUCACUCCCUUUCACCUGAUGUCUAUCUUGGCCUUUUAGCACCUUGACUAUCCCUGAAAAGACUGGGUCUUUGUUUUCCCAGGGAAAAAACGAAGUGAUGUAGAUCUAAGAAAUAGUGCCUCUUUAAUAUUUAAUUCUUACAUGACAACUAACACACAGGGAAAAGGCUAUGUUAAGUUGAUUAUAGCUCCUCUUAAAAUGUCCUAUGCUGUCAGUUGGUCUUAGAGACAUGGGAAUAACCAAGCAAUAUUCAGACAUCUGCACUAUCUGGGGACAGCGCUACAUAGUACAAUGAUGUCAGCAGUUCAGUUACUUGGAACAAUUAAAGAUUACCCUUAACAGCCAUGUUAAUACAUCUAAAUGCUAAAAUAUACUACGAGUUUUUCAUAGUCUUGAAAGUAUACAGUUAAUUACUUUUCAAAGUUACUGUGGUCUCAUGUUUACUCUUCUUGUAUCUGUGAUAUGCAAAAAGAUGAAGACUCUUGGCCUCCAGGAGUUUACAUUCUCAUGGUGCUGUUGGUUCAAGCAGAUUGCUUUAGUUUAUUAAUGAACAUUGCUUGGCUAUUAAUUAUAUCCUAUUUGGAAGGAUCCCUUGGUGAACAGUUUUAAAAAGCAGAGGGCUGUGCUAAAUUUCAGGGUAUUGAUAGCUUGAGUUUACAUUGUAUUAGCCCUGCUCGUUAUCAUUUUUUUCCCCAGGGAGCUAUGCAGGUAAUGCUCAUUAGCAUGAAUCAGAAAAGAAACCAUUCUGCCUAAGAGCAUCUUAACCAUCCCCCUAAACCACCUAUGCUCUCCUGUUAUAGUUGUCAGUAAAUCACGAAGAAAAUUAACAGCUCCUUAAGACUCUACAUCCCUCAAUUCUCUUUCUUUUCCCAGAGUUUGUACAUCAUUCUCUACUCAGAUGGACCAGGAUUUGCAUAUAAGCCUUUUAAAACUGACUAGUGGUCCUAAUUUUAACAUUUUUGUGUAUGACUCCUAUCCCUUUUCUGAAGCAGCAUUGUGAUAGAUGUGGAGCUUCUACCUGCAUUUCUAAGCAAUUAUUAACCCAACUUUUGAGUUGAAACUUGCAUGGAUCCUUGUUAUGUCCCGUAAUUCCUCUGAAUCAAGGAAUUUAUUUUGCAUGCUUAUUAAACUCAAACUGGGUCUGAUUGAAAGUGCAAGCAAUAGUGACAGGACCUUAACUCUGGUUUUAGAGUACGAACAUUCUAAUGCAUGACUCAAAAUGUCCAGUGUUGUGGUUACUAGUUAUUUUAUAUAUGCAUUUGUUAAUAAUGAAGCAAUAGAGACUAAGACCAAUAGCUUGAAUAUAUUCAGAUUAUUUUCAUGUUUUAAUAAAGGAUUUUUCUUACUUCCAUUGAAAAUGGGAAGUAGAAGAUAAACAGGGGCAACCACAAGACAUUCAAACUGUCAGGACUAGGGCGUAGCAGUGCCCACCCUCUAACCACUUGCCUGGUUCCAUUAGUCCCCAAGCAUGUUUGAAAACAAAAGACACAAACUAAGCAUGCUGAAUAAAACUAGCUGCUAUGGCUGUAAUAAUCAGAAAGGUGCAGAGUUUCAGAAAGAGUAGGAAAGUAGGGAAUGCCAGUAUGGAGUAUGUAAAAUAACUAGAUAUGGAUAUGGGGUUUGUUUAUGAUAUGCUUUAUGUAGACAAAGUUUGAGGUCUUUUAAAACUGGGAUUUGAGUUGAAAAGAGUCAGGAUGCACAUAUUUCCACUAUUUCAGGAUUUUCAGAUGACUAGGCACAUGUUGUGGAUGAUACUGGUACCAACUACCAAUGACCAACUAUAAAGUACCCCUGCAAUAAGGGAGACUUCCUUUUUGUAGAAUAGUCCUGAAAAUACUGACAGAUCUGUGGUUAGUUUGUUAUUUUAUUGCAUAAAAAACAGUUUAAACAAAUUUUAUAGCCAAAGUUUUAUCCUUGAUGGGUUUGGCCAGACUGCAAUUUCUUGACUAAAGCUUUUAAUGCCAGGUUAAACAGGAGAAACUUUUUCCACUAGAAGAAAAUCCUUGCUAUCUAUUUUUUCCAAUAGAAGAAAAUCCUUGCUAUUUAUUUUAUUUGAUGAAUAAACAAAUUUAUUGCAGUAGCUUAAAAAAAUUUUUUUUUUAAACAGUCUCACUCUGUCGCCCAGGCUGGAGUGAAGCAAUGUGAUCUCAGCUCACUGCAACCUCCACCUCCCGAGUAGCUGGGAUUACAGACAUGCACCACCACCCUCAGCUAAUUUUUGUAUUUUUAGUAGAGACGGGGUUUCGCCAUGUUGGCCAGGCUGGUCUUUAACUCCUGGCCUUACGUGAUCCGCCCCCCCUUAGCCUUCCAAAGUGCUGGGAUUACAGGUGUGAGCCACUGCACCUGGCCUGUAGUAGCUUAAAAUUUUCCUUGAGAAAAUUCCUGACUUUAAAAAUAACCCUUAUAUAAGUACAAGUGAUUGUGACAAAUGACGUAAAAAUGGCAUUCAUGAUGUCUGAAACAAGCCUAAAUAGAAUUCAAGAUUAGACUAAAUGAUUUUCACAAAGCACAUUCAAGGUUUUACAUUCUAUGAUUGAAAAAAAUUUUUUGAAAACUUUUUAUUUCAUUCUUUCCUGUAGGAUUUUGCUACAAAUAACUUUGGGAAUGAAUAAAGUGGAAUGGUAACUUUCCAGUGGUUCAGAAUUGAAUUAGACUUCUUGUGACUGUGAUGUUUGGUUUCCAUUGAAAUAUAUGAAGUGAGAUGUCAUAUCCUGAAUAUAGUUUGUCUUCCCCAAUUACUUGAUAGCAUGUCUGUCAGCCAGUAAAGAUUAAGAACAGAGUUUCUCUAAAUUCCUCCGAUUAUUCCACUAAGGCACAUUAAAAUACUUAAUUUUGGGAAACCAGACAUCACAGAUUUCUCCAUGAAGUCCUAAAUCUUCUUUAAAGUCAGAAUAGGUAUCUUAGUUACUGACAGUAUUCAGGUUUUUUUCUCCCUUGGUGAUAUGUCAUUCCAUCAGUGAAAAAAUAUUUUCUCCCAGGGAUAAGAAAGGUAUUCUGGUAAUACAUUAUCAUCAAUCCUUAAACAGUAACAGUCUUGGCACUUAUCACAAAACCGACCCAUUUCUUAUAACCAGAAAGAUUAUCUUAGACUGUCCUUCACAUUAUACUUUACCUACUGCCUUGUAAGAAUAAGAGUUGCUCACUGUGUUUACUUGCUGUCCUCCAUAUUCUCCAUUGCACCAUUGGUGUAUAACGUUAAGAGUUUCAUUGAAUAUUAUUUUAAGUAUUACAAAAGGCAGCUUGCUUCUUAAUCUAUGCAUCUUUGGGGUUUUUGAAGAAAUUUAAUUCUUUGAUGUAAAAAGGAACUGUUAAAAAAGUUGGAAGCUCUGCACCUGUGUAUAUAUAUAUUUUAGCAAUAAAGCAGCAUGGGCUGAGAAUGCACUGAAAUC
rnacentral:lncRNA from 10 species